UCAUCAUGCCCCUUAUGACCUGGGCUACACACGUGCUACAAUGGUUGGUACAACGAGUUGCGAGUCGGUGACGGCGAGCUAAUCUCUUAAAGCCAAUCUCAGUUCGGAUUGUAGGCUGCAACUCGCCUACAUGAAGUCGGAAUCGCUAGUAAUCGCGGAUCAGCACGCCGCGGUGAAUACGUUCCCGGGCCUUGU
rnacentral:rRNA from 1 species